UACGUAGGGAGCAAGCGUUGUCCGGAAUUAUUGGGCGUAAAGAGCUCGUAGGCGGUUCGUCACGUCGGCUGUGAAAACCUGAGGCUCAACCUCAGGCCUGCAGUCGAUACGGGCGGACUUGAGUACUGCAGGGGAGACUGGAAUUCCUGGUGUAGCGGUGAAAUGCGCAGAUAUCAGGAGGAACACCGGUGGCGAAGGCGGGUCUCUGGGCAGUAACUGACGCUGAGGAGCGAAAGCGUGGGGAGCGAACAGG
rnacentral:rRNA from 1 species